rnacentral:rRNA from 2 species
UACGUAGGGGGCAAGCGUUAUCCGGAUUUACUGGGUGUAAAGGGAGCGCAGGCGGUCUGUCAAGUCUGAUGUGAAAUCCCGGGGCUCAACCCUGGAACUGCAUUGGAAACUGUCAGACUAGAGUGCCGGAGAGGUAAGUGGAAUUCCUAGUGUAGCGGUGAAAUGCGUAGAUAUUAGGAGGAACACCAGUGGCGAAGGCGGCUUACUGGACGGUAACUGACGCUGAGGCUCGAAAGCGUGGGGAGCAAACAGG